GAUGAACGCUGGCGGCGUGCCUAAUACAUGCCCGUCGAGCGAACGGACGAGAAGCUUGCUUUUCUGAUGUUAGCGGCGGACGGGUGAGUAACACGUGGAUAACCUACCUAUAAGACUGGGAUAACUUCGGGAAACCGGAGCUAAUACCGGAUAAUAUUUUGAACCGCAUGGUUCAAAAGUGAAAGACGGUCUUGCUGUCACUUAUAGAUGGAUCCGCGCUGCAUUAGCUAGUUGGUAAGGUAACGGCUUACCAAGGCAACGAUGCAUAGCCGACCUGAGAGGGUGAUCGGCCACACUGGAACUGAGACACGGUCCAGACUCCUACGGGAGGCAGCAGUAGGGAAUCUUCCGCAAUGGGCGAAAGCCUGACGGAGCAACGCCGCGUGAGUGAUGAAGGUCUUCGGAUCGUAAAACUCUGUUAUUAGGGAAGAACAUAUGUGUAAGUAACUGUGCACAUCUUGACGGUACCUAAUCAGAAAGCCACGGCUAACUACGUG
rnacentral:rRNA from 1 species